UGUACACACACCUCACCUCCCAGCUGAUGGCCCUGGUGUGGGGCAAGGUGGCGCUGGUGCUGGAGGUGUGGCCAGGCCUGUACACACACCUCACCUCCCAGCUGAUGGCCCUGGCGCGGGGCAAGGUGGUGCUGGUGCUGGAGGUGACCAGUCUGACCUCACCCAAACAUUGUGGCAGGAGCUGAGCACCACACAUCCACACACUGGGUGGGUGGUGCCUGCCGUCCUGGCCAAGAGUGCCGCCCACACCCUCAGUGCCUUGCUGGGCCACCACUGCCCCCCUGCUGGACCCCCCUGCAGCCAUCACCAAGCCUUCAGGAGACACUGCUGAGCCUGGUGUAUGUCCAACGGGCACACUGGCGCUGCUUCCAGUACCAGGGUCCUUAUGCCAGCAGGAGGUGCGGGGCGAGGCUGACCCCAGCACCUUCACCCCGAGCCUCUCCUUCCAAGGCCUGGUGGGUGUCUGGCCCUUACGCCUCCAGACCAGAGACACCAUGCAGCUCCUGACACCACAGACACAGCAGCUCAGGGAGAGGAUUGGUGAGAAACUGCUGCAGCUGAGGAGGGAAGAGGCCGUGGUGCUGAGUGAGUCUCCGAGGCUGUGUCUGGUGUGUGACGAGCAGGUGGAGCAACACGCAGCCUUACGGAAGGGGAACAUCCAGAGCGGCCAGAGCGCAUCCAGCGGUUGUGGGAGAUGCUGGGUCGUGCCGGGGAGCUGUGGCGAGGCCAGCGGCU